AAACAAAUAAGCACAAAGUAAAAGAAAGUAACAAAGAAAGAAAAAAUGGUGUCAGCAUCUGGUAUUUCUUCUGUUUUGCU
rnacentral:ribozyme from 1 species